CAGUCAGGCUUCUAGUCCCCACCGCUGCCCAGAAACUGCUCCCUUCGAAGCCGUGGUUCUCAACCUGGCUGAGAAGCACCUGUCCAGGUGUGGAAAGCGGCUCACGCCCUCCCUGCCAUUCUGAUUCAGGUCUGGGGCGGGGCCCGCAUUGGGUUAGUUUUAAGAGGUCCACAGGGGGUUCUGCUGCAGAGCCAGGGUAGGGCUGGUCCACACACACGUUCCCUGAGCACGUUCGUCCCCGCCCACGGCUUCUGAUUGCAAACUGGCCGACAAUUCCCGAACCGCCGUCUCCCGCCCAGCUCUCUUGACUUCGCUCCAGGCUACACAUUCAGCCACUUUCUGAAUGAUCCCACUAGGAUGAUCCACGGGCCCUCCAGCCCGACCUGUCCAACACUGAGCUCAUGAGCUCCUGCCCCCAACCUGCCCCUCCUCCGGGAGCCCCAGCUACCAGAAGGCAACCCCUCUGCCUCGUCACCCAGGCCAAAGGUGCGUCUGGACGCCGAGCCCCCGGGCAGCAGGGAGGGGAGCGGCGGGACGGCUGGAGCCGGCUCCGACCUUGGAAGCCCCAGCGCAGUGCCUCGCAGACUCAAGGAGCCCCGUGGGUCUGCUGAGAGAAGAAACUAGCCGGGAGCAGAGAGCAGCUCGUGCAGAGUGGCCCGCCGGGACCGCAGAGACGGGGAGAACCCCAAGGCCGGUGGCCCGAGGCAGGAUCGGCCUGUCCCCUCCCUCUCCCGCCCUCAGUCCAGCCUCCCGACUCCCGACUCCAAGUGUCGGCAAACUCUGAACACCCAGCGUCCGCGCCCCUGCGCUGCCUGGGUUCCCUGCUCUUUCCUGGGAGCCCUUCCCAGGGGCUCCUCCCCCACCACCUCGGGGGACCUAGUGGAGCUGGGGGGACCGGAUUCCGGAGGGUGGAGCAGCCAGGUGAGCCCUGAAAGGUGGGGCGGGGCGGGGGCGCUCAGGGCCCCACCCCAGGAUCCGGUGACGCCAGGGCUGGAAUUUGACACCGGACGGCAGCAGGCAUGAGGCUGCGGAGGGAUGGAGUUGGGCCCGGCCCCCAGACACGGCCCGCGGGCUCUGCCAGCAGCAGGUCCCUCGGGUCCCAGCCCUCACUGUGUCCCGGACCCAGAGCCCUCCACGCACGGGCUCAGACGGGCUGCCAAGACCACGCUUUUGGCUAAAAGAGGCGCUGCCAGGUGCAGAGCUCUGGGCGUGAGCCUUUGGAGCCGCGGGGGAAAGCCCAGCUCUGGUCCCAGAAAAGGUGCCUGGAGGAACACGAC